UACGGAGGGUGCGAGCGUUGUCCGGAAUCACUGGGCGUAAAGGGCGCGUAGGCGGCCUGAUAAGUAGGGGGUGAAAUCUUGCGGCUUAACCGCAAGGCUGCCUUCUAAACUGUCAGGCUAGAGCACAGUAGAGGCAGGUGGAAUUCCCGGUGUAGCGGUGGAAUGCGUAGAGAUCGGGAAGAACAUCAGUGGCGAAGGCGGCCUGCUGGGCUGUUGCUGACGCUGAGGCGCGACAGCGUGGGGAGCAAACAGGG
rnacentral:rRNA from 1 species